rnacentral:tRNA from 1 species
GCCUGGCCAGCUCAGUCGGUAGAGCAGGUGACUCUUGAUCUCACGGUUGUGAGUUCGAGUCCCACACUGGGCA